AGUUAUCAAGCUUUAUGAAAGCAUAUGUUUUGAAAACAUAAGACAGAGGUUAAAUUCUUCUAAUAACUU
rnacentral:tRNA from 1 species